AUUGAACGCCGGCGGCAGGCUUAACACAUGCAAGUCGAGCGGAGAUGCGGUGCUUGCACCUUAUCUUAGCGGCGGACGGGUGAGUAGUGCUUAGGAAUAUGCCUAUUAGUGGGGGACAACAUUCCGAAAGGAAUGCUAAUACUGCAUAGGUCCUUAGGGAGAAAGCAGGGGAUCUUCGGUCCAUGCGCUAAUAGAUGAGCCGUAGGCGGAUGAGCUAGUGGGUGGGGUAAGGGCCUACCAAGGCGACGAUCUGGAGCGGGUCUGAGAGGAGGAGCCGCCACACUGGGACUGGGACACGGCCCAGACUCCGACGGGAGGCAGCAGUGGGGAAUAUGGGACAAUGGGGGGAACCCUGAUCCAGCCCUGCCGCGUGUGUGAAGAAGGCCUUAUGGUUGUAAAGCACUUUAAGCGAGGAGGAGGCUACUGAGACUAAUACUCUUGGAUAGUGGACGUUACUCGCAGAAUAAGCACCGGCUAACUCUGUGCCAGCAGCCGCCGUAAUAC
rnacentral:rRNA from 1 species